UAAAACUCGAAAACUGCUGGACCGUUUUUGGUCUUAAAUUAUUUGUGGAAGUCCAGAGAAGGUUUAAAAGAAGCAAUGAAGAAUCAAAGAAGAAUCAAAGAAGAAAGAAGAAAGAUGCAAAGAAGAAUCUUUCGUUGCUACACGUCGCCGCGUCGUCUCCUUGUAACAUUUUAUAUUCUACGUUUUAUUAUAAUAUACGAAACCCGCACGAUAAAACUUUGCAAGGUACUAAACUGUCUAUGUUAAUUUUGUUGUGGCUGUCGAUGUUUCAGCUUACGUUUUUUACUGAAAUUCGCAUGUAUAGUGAUUUCAAUAAUUAUACGUUUUUAAAAAUAAUGUCAACUAAAAA